rnacentral:misc_RNA from 1 species
AAUCUUGUAAUAGCAUAGCUCUAGCUUGCACAAUCUGAGGUGUUGACAGAAGAUCGGCAUCUUGCUUACUGAGUCUGGGAUGUAGAAGCACAAAAUAGAUUUUCCAGAAGCAGCUUUCAUUCAUGUGGCUUGGGCAAAGCUCAAUCCUUAGGGCCGCUAAUCUUGGUACCAGGUGUUCAACAUCCAACGCAUGCUCUUGUUGAGUG